GUUCAGUAUUGCAGGACUUGUUUUCCGCCCAAGGAGAGCAAGGCUGUAUUCCAGAAACCAGCUUUUACUGAAGAUGAUUCGCAAAUUCUUCAACUUCAAUUAAAGACAGCUUAAUGCUAGCAAGCCCAAGGACAAGGAUGCCUUAUGUGUUUUGUUAAUUUAUGUUUAAAAUUCACAAGUUAUAGGUGUCCUUGUUACAAAGGUAAGACCUGACAGACUGCUUUCUAAUGCAGUUCCAUCAGUGGUGAGCUCAUCAUCUACAUUUUAUAAAACAUUUCUAUAGGAUGUUUUUUCUAAAGCAAAGUGACUGAUUGUAAUUGCUUACGUUUACUGGCUAUAUUCCUUCAUUAAGGCAUAAUUAGAUUCUGUCUGUAAGAGAUGUAUGUUCAAGUGUUGCCUAUUUGAGAAUCCACGUUCUUUUUUUUCUUUUUUAUCAGAGCACUUCUUGCAUCCGUAAGACUGUUACCUUUCAGAAAAACUCAAGUUCAAACCAAAUAAAAGGUUCACUGAUCAUUAUGGUAUGUGUCACUGUUACUGGGUAAGUCACCACCUCCGGGUCUACCUGCCUAUGGUAUCUCACUGAGCCAUGAAUGGCGCUGAGACCCUCCCAGGGAUGAGUCAUAGCCCCUGCCUGGGCUGACACCAGCACCUCAUUCACAGCCAAUAAUGAGACAUGCUAAUGAGAAGGCUGGCCGCCCUACAUGCUAGCCAUUAUGCAGUGCUGUGAUUCAUGCUCUGUUCUGUAGGAAACCAUCAUCAGGCCCGGUGCAUUGUGGGUCCAGAGAUUAACUCCAUGAUGAAGUCUUUCUAUAGUAUCAGGGUGAUUAUAUUUGAUCUAUGUCUCUCAUUCUUUGGCCUUGUGGUGAAGGAAAUCAGAGAGGAACUGCUUAUGGUGUGCAUGUGAAUGGAUUCAAUAUUGGCUUCAUGCAAUGUAAAAUACAUGUGGUCCACUUGAUUUAAUAUUGAACAUGUUAUAUUGAAAACCUUGUUUUAGUAUGGGUUUUCACCAGGGGCACAACUUUCACUGGGGAUGGGGGAUCAUGUCCCCUCCACAUUUUGAAAUUGCCCUCCCCCCCACACCCACAGUUGUAUAAUUGCAAUAUGAUACAAAAAGCGGCAACUAUGGGCUUUAGGACCAUGCGGAUGCCUCAGAGCGGUCAGGUAGGCUGUUUGGAGUGUUCAGCUGGCUGGAUUUAGGACCGCUCAGACACCAUAGAGUGCGCUGACAGGCUGUGUGAAGGCAAAGCUUCUGGAAGGCUGGCUGAAGCAGCAAGGGAGAGUUGAGCAUAGUUCAGUGUGUAUGUGUUGCGCUUGUUCACUGAGAUGUAAAAGCAAGCAGAGCAUAAACUGGCUGCUAUUUAGUUGCCUGAUGUAGCUGGAAAAGUAACUGCUGUUUAACUUAACCGAAAAAAAAACAACUAGUGUUUAUUCGCAGUGCUGAACUAGUAUUGUAACUGGCAUGUAACGUUACCUAAUGUUUCAUAACCUCUAGACUGAAGUGAAUGAAUAAGCUUUGCUAGCUAGCAGCUACCACAGCCAGGUCUGCUCUAGCCUCUAGUUAUCUGUGGGAUAGCGAUAUGAGGUGGCUGUUAUUACUAUCUAACAGCUGUUGUUUGUAUGGAAAUGUUUUGUAGCCUUUGUUUGGUCCAGUUUCAGAAGUAAAUUAACUUGGCCAGUUUUCGCCAGUUGAUGUACCGUUACAGAGAGCUGGCCAAAAAUGGGCUAAUGUUAGCUAUUAUUUUUGCCUCAAUCACACUAGACCUGAAUCAAUGAUGAAACCAUCGGCCAAACAAUUGAAUAUUGAUAUUCUGACUAGUUUUCAGUGCAAUGUGGGUUUUAUUAGUCAGUAUGGCAAUGUAAC
ensembl:lncRNA